GACGUAGGGGGCCAGCGUUGCUCGGAAUUACUGGGCGUAAAGAGCGUGUAGGCGGCCAGGUAGGUCUGGUGUGAAAACUCGAGGCUUAACCUCGAGAUGUCAUCGGAAACCAUCUGGCUAGAGUCCGGAAGAGGAGAGUGGAAUUCCUGGUGUAGCGGUGAAAUGCGCAGAUAUCAGGAAGAACACCAAUGGCGAAAGCAGCUCUCUGGGACGGUACUGACGCUGAGACGCGAAAGCGUGGGGAGCGAACAGG
rnacentral:rRNA from 1 species